rfam:Myotis brandtii contig206266, whole genome shotgun sequence.
GGUGGUUCUCGGGUAACACACCCCAGUAUCAGGCUCCCUCCUCUCUGGUUCCGGGUGUGUCACCAGAGAACCACA